GGAUGAAGGUAAGGUAAUACUUACUGGAGGUCCGAACCCACGCACGUUGAAAAGUGCGGGGAUGAGGUGUGGGUAGCGGAGAAAUUCCAAUCGAACUUGGAGAUAGCUGGUUCUCUCCGAAAUAGCUUUAGGGCUAGCCUCGAGGUAAAGAGUCAUGGAGGUAGAGCACUGUUUGGACUAGGGGCCCUUCUCGGGUUACCGAAUUCAGAUAAACUCCGAAUGCCAUGUACUUAUACUCGGGAGUCAGACUGCGAGUGAUAAGAUCCGUAGUCGAAAGGGAAACAGCCCAGACCACCAGUUAAGGUCCCCAAAUAUAUGUUAAGUGGAAAAGGAUGUGGGGUUGCUUAGACAACCAGGAUGUUGGCUUAGAAGCAGCCACCAUUGAAAGAGUGCGUAAUAGCUCACUGGUCGAGUGACCCCGCGCCGAAAAUGUACCGGGGCUAAACAUAUUACCGAAACUGUGGAUGAACCUCUUUAGAGGUUCGUGGUAGGAGAGCGUUCUAAGGGCGGUGAAGUCAGACCGGAAGGACUGGUGGAGCGCUUAGAAGUGAGAAUGCCGGUAUGAGUAGCGAAAGAAGGGUGAGAAUCCCUUCCACCGAAUAUCUAAGGUUUCCUGAGGAAGGCUCGUCCGCUCAGGGUUAGUCGGGACCUAAGCCGAGGCCGAUAGGCGUAGGCGAUGGACAACAGGUAGAGAUUCCUGUACCAGUGCUAAUUGUUUAACCGAUGGGGUGACACAGAAGGAUAGGGAAUCGCACGAAUGGAAAUGUGCGUCCAA
rnacentral:rRNA from 1 species